rnacentral:lncRNA from 1 species
UACUCAGUUAAUUAGAUAAAUAUACUCCAAUGGAAAAAGCUAUGGAACAACAAAACUCAGAAACAUCAAAGCUACCGGAACAGGUAUAUCUAUUUAUAAUUAUGAAUAGCUAAUUUCAUAAUUCCCAGCAAUCAUGAUAUGAUAAAAUAAUUCAUAUUAGUUACUUUAUAGUAGAAUUAUUCGAAGAAUAAUAUGUUAAGAAGUUUAUUAACAAAGAGGAAACGGAGAAAUAUCCCUAAGGACUAUGCCAUCCUAAAGGUGAAACCAUUGAGGCAAGAAGCCGUGGCGGGGAGUAACCAGAGUAGAGGC